GAAAAGUAAAGUCCAUUGGACAAUUCAUUGACACUAGAGGCUAUGCUCUUACUACUGUCCAUUCAAUGUCCAAUGGACUUUACUUUUCAGGCAAAGUUUUCUGUUAAUACAAAAAUAUAUAUCUCUUUAAGAAAAUAAGAAAAAAAAAAAAAAAAAUCAGUUUAAAAUUUAAGUGAUCUUAAAAUAAAAUCUCAGAAUAUGAAUACUUAAGAAUUUAAAUUAAGAAAACAAACAAAUAAAUAAAUAACACUUUUGAGCUUGGAAAUGUGUAUCAACAAGUCUUGUAUAAUCGUCAAAUAGAACCCAAUUUAUCAAAUUUUUAUAAAUAUCAAUCUUAUGGGACACAAAAAAGUCCUAGUGUGUUCAUCAUAUAUUUUUUCCUCUACUACUUGGGAACAAUUUCUUUAUAAAUUGUUUUUGGAGUUUCGACUUUCUCUUGCCCAUUUUUAAAAAUACAAAAUUUUGAAACAGCUUUUGCUUGAAAAUAUAAUGAGAGUUCAAAAGAGGUAACACCUAAGGAGAAUGGGUUUAUGAAAAUGUACUAAGGAAUUAGAAGGCCAAUGAUAAACUGCCAAUAUGGAAUUUACCAAAGGGUAUCACUUGUUAGUAGAACUCAAAGAAGUCAAAGCAUAACUUGUGAAGAAUAUCAAACAAAUGCAAUAGUAUUUGGCCAAAAAGGCAUGGGCUCAAACCAUAGUGGCUUCCAACCUCAUCUUCACUUAGUAAUUUGUAACCAGAAAUUUUUGAAUAUCUAAUGUAACCAAAUCUAAUUGUACCAAAAAAACCAAUUUAUCUUUGAAUUAUUGUUGUUCUGUAUGUUGAUUUUCUUUGAACACUUAGUUAAUAAGUUUCUCCUUGUCCAGUGUGAAGAAAUCAAGUAGAUACUCCGGGAAAAACCACAUAUUGAAAGUUUUUUCAAUAAGGAAAAAUAAAAUUUUAAUAAGAAAAAAAAAGGAGGUAGUGACAUAUUCAUAACAGUGCUUCACAAUCCAUGCAUCCUAUUCUAUUUAUUAGGUUUUCUUUUUUCUUUUUUUUUCCCCACUUUUUCAUAUUUUAUUUGCUUCUCUUGGAAUGAGAAUUAUGUGGAUGCAAAUUCAUGCCCCAUUCUGCACUUUUUUUUGUCUUCCUAACAACAACUUUUUGAUUCUAUGGUUGACAGCAACCAUUUUAGCAGAGGAUAAGUACACAAAAUAUUACAUUGCUUUACUUUUUGCCGAGGACAAAUAAAAAUCUUUUUACUAUCAAACUUUCCACAUUAUUGUUGAUAUUUCUGAAUCGACAGAAUUCAGUUUCUACACAUACACAAAAGAUACUCUUGGAGUAAAGUGCUUUGAUUAGUCUACUUGUGAUAUUAUUUUGAAGUUAUAUGAUCAUUAGCAAAUGUACCGAAGUAAUGUUAUCUGAUUUUUGCUUUAGUAAAUUCUCCAAUCAAUUUUGCAAAUACUAGUAUUCUUGAUGAACUUAGGUAUGUGAAUGUAUAAUUGUUGAACAUAUCAACUUUGUUUUCGUAGAAAAAAUAUAUAUAUAUAUAUAUAUAUAUAU
rnacentral:lncRNA from 1 species